rnacentral:tRNA from 1 species
GCGGGUAUGGCGGAAUUGGUAGACGCGCUGGUUUUAGGUACCAGUGUCGCAAGACGUGGGGGUUCGAGUCCCUCUACCCGUACCA